UAUGGCUCAAGUGCUAGAGUACCUGCUUAGGAAGCAUGAGGCUCUGAGUUCAAACCUCAGUA
rnacentral:tRNA from 1 species